rnacentral:rRNA from 1 species
AAUCAACGCUGGCGGCGCGCUUAACACAUGCAAGUCGGACGAGAAAGGGGAGCAAUCCCUGAGUAAAGUGGCGUACGGGUGAGUAACACGUGGGUAAUCUACCUUCUGGUGGGGAAUAAC